AUUUUCUGCGGAAAAGCCGGGUCCUAGAGACUGACCCAGCUUUUGCUCGAGAGCAUGGGACAGCCUCUACCCUCAGCUCCCGGCAGCUGCUGCGUUUCGCCAGUGAUGCGGCCAAUGGCAUGCAGUACCUGAGUGAGAAGCAGUUCAUCCACAGGGACCUGGCUGCCCGGAAUGUGCUGGUCGGAGAGAACCUGGCCUCCAAGAUUGCAGACUUCGGCCUUUCUCGGGGAGAGGAGGUUUAUGUUAAGAAGACGAUGGUGAGUCUCAUUCAACCCUCACCCUUAGGGCUUGUGCCUGGCCCUGCCCCACAGGAGCCUCAAACAGGCCCUUCCUCCACACUCAGCCCCUCAAACCCAUUCUCUCCUAGGGGCGUCUCCCUGUGCGCUGGAUG
rnacentral:sRNA from 1 species